rnacentral:rRNA from 1 species
AGCAAUUUAUACAGCGAAACUGCGAAUGGCUCAUUAUAUAAGUUAUCGUUUAUUUGAUAGUACCUUACUACUUGGAUAACCGUGGUAAUUCUAGAGCUAAUACAUGCUAAAAAUCCCGACUUCGGAAGGGAUGUAUUUAUUAGAUUAAAAACCAAUGCCCCUCGGGGCUCUCUGGUGAUUCAUAAUAACUUCUCGAAUCGCACGGCCUUGCGCCGGCGAUGGUUCAUUCAAAUUUCUUCCCUAUCAACUUUCGAUGUUUGGGUAGUGGCCAAACAUGGUUGCAACGGGUAACGGAGGGUUAGGGCUCGACCCCGGAGAAGGAGCCUGAGAAACGGCUACUACAUCCAAGGAAGGCAGCAGGCGCGCAAAUUACCCAAUCCCGAUUCGGGGAGGUAGUGACAAUAAAUACUGAUACAGGGCUCUUUCGGGUCUUGUAAUUGGAAUGAGUACAAUUUAAAUCCCUUAACGAGGAACAAUUGGAGGGCAAGUCUGGUGCCAGCAGCCGCGGUAAUUCCAGCUCCAAUAGCGUAUAUUAAAGUUGUUGUGGUUAAAAAGCUCGUAGUUGAACCUUGGGCCUGGCUGGCCGGUCCGCCUCACCGCGUGUCACUGGUCCGGCCGGGUCUUUCCCUCUGUGGAACCACAUGCCCUUCACUGGGCGUGGCGGGGAAACAGGACUUUUACUUUGAAAAAAUUAGAGUGCUCCAGGCAGGCCUAUGCUCGAAUACAUUAGCAUGGAAUAAUGAAAUAGGACGUGCGGUUCUAUUUUGUUGGUUUCUAGGACCGCCGUAAUGAUUAAUAGGGACAGUCGGGGGCAUCAGUAUUCAAUUGUCAGAGGUGAAAUUCUUGGAUUUAUUGAAGACUAACUACUGCGAAAGCAUUUGCCAAGGAUGUUUUCAUUAAUCAGGAACGAAAGUUAGGGGAUCGAAGACGAUCAGAUACCGUCGUAGUCUUAACCAUAAACUAUGCCGACUAGGGAUCGGACGAUGUUAUUUAGUUGACUCGUUCGGCACCUUACGAGAAAUCGAAGUGC